rfam:Ancylostoma duodenale strain Zhejiang A_duodenale-1.0_Cont526.6, whole genome shotgun sequence.
GGCCGGAUGGUCUAGGGGUAUGAUUCUCGCUUCGGAUGCGAGAGGUCCCGGGUUCGAAUCUCGCUUCGGCCC